rnacentral:rRNA from 1 species
AACUAACGCUGGCGGCGUGCCUAACACAUGCAAGUCGUACGAGAAAGUUGGCUUCGGCCGAUGAGUAAAGUGGCGCACGGGUGAGUAAAUGCGUGGGAUAAUCUGCCCUUUAGUUGGGAAUAACGUACCGAAAGGUGCGCUAAUACCUGAUAAUACUGCAUAACUACUGUUGUGUAGUCAAAGAAGGCCUCUGUUUACAAGCUUUUUGCUGAAGGAUGAGUCCGCGUACCAUUAGCUGGUUGGUGGGGUAAUGGCCCACCAAGGCGACGAUCUGUAGCGGGUCUGAGAGGAUGAUCAGCCACAAUGGGACUGAGACACGGCCCAUACUCCUACGGGAGGCAGCAGUGGGGAAUUUUACGCAAUGGGCGAAAGCCUGACGUAGCGACACCGCGUGAGCGAAGAAGCCCCUUGGGGUGUAAAGCUCUGUCAGCUGGAACGAAAAAAAUGACGGUACCAGCAGAGGAAGCAUCGGCUAACUAACGUGCCAGCAGCCCCGGUAAA